CUCCAGCAGUUAAUUAAGGUCACAAAUAAUAUCAGAGCUCUGAAUUUCACUGUGGUGAUCAGGGUUCCUGUGAAGCUCGGUGACAAAGACAUUUGGGUGGAUAUGAACAGUUUGCAGAUUACAGAUUGCCAGAAAAGCACAGAUGAAAAACCUGAUGUCACAGAUUUUAUUGAGAGGAUAAAGGAAAAUAAAGUUGUGGUUAGUAUACAUUUAAAGUAUUCCUGUGUAAUAAAAGUACCUAAUAAGAAAUAACAGC